rnacentral:lncRNA from 1 species
GGGGUGGGGGACAAAAGGUUUUGUUUCUGUCAGUUGAUUACCACUAAAUAUAUUACAGGAGAAGCAGUCAAACUGUACUUUCAACUCUGUGCUGUCAGUGAGAGCUGCGAACAUGAAGCAGUUGCCAUUCUCAGUGGUACAAUAAUCAAGUAGGAACUAGAGUUUCAGCACUCUCAGGCUCAUUCUGCAUUUGCGCUGCCACUUGAAAUACCAGAUUUGCUUGACAGAAGAAAAAAACAGCUGCAGUGUUGUCAGGAUCUCUAACUGCAAUCCUCUGGUGAUGAAAGAGACCCCAGAAAUUACGUAUAGUAUGCUGCAGUGAAAACAUAAAAAGCCUCAGUUUCCUACCUGCUGCACCCCAGUCAUUUUCUCUUCUUGACACAAGAUGGAGAAGAGGGGACAACCAGUAGUCAGAAAGAUUAAUUUGAAAUCAUAUCUUGCUGUAAUUAAGAAGGUAGAAGCUAUCCUAAAAAUUAUAUUCAAGAGGAAUGGCAGGGAACAGGUCUGGGAAUGGUCUCCAGGAAUCAUACAGACCAUCUGCCUUGGAACAGAAUCUAACAACUAACACCUUCUUGAUAUCAUUAAGUUGUUCAUAGCACCUGCCAGCAAUGGACACUUCAAACACUUUCUAGACAGCUUUUUCACAUCUCAUGUUCUUUUCUCCAUUCUUACUCCUGUUUUCUAUCCUGCUAUUAAAACACAUACUUACUUCACCUUUGGUCAGUGAACAUGGAGAUCUACCUUACCUUCUUCCUAUUCAUUUUGGAAAAAGAGAGGAAGGAGGUUAGGAGAAUUGGAAAUAAUGCUUUAUUAAAUACACAACCAGGAGCAUUUAAUAGAUGCGUAAAAUGAAUAUAUAUAUAUAUAUAUAUAUAUAUAUAUAUAUAUAUAUAUAUAUAUAUAUAUAUACAUACACAUACUCCUGGCUGUAUGAAAGAGCAGCAAGCUUAAAUACUUAGGUUUUAUAUUCUUAUUCAGAAAAAUUGCACAGAUCUAUGUCUAUGCCAUUCUACCACAUUUUCUGUUAUUUCUAGUCUAUUAUAAUGCAGAAAUUGUAUGUUACUAUUGCAGUUGUGUGCCUAAUUUUUUAUAGUUGAGAUUUAAACAAAAAUAUGUAUAAAAUAAC